rnacentral:rRNA from 1 species
GACGAACGCUGGCGGCGUGCUUAACACAUGCAAGUCGAACGGAAAGGCCCUGCUUUCGUGGGGUGCUCGAGUCGCGAACGGGUGAGUAACACGUGAGUAACCUGCCCUUGACUUUGGGAUAACUUCAGGAAACUGGGGCUAAUACCUGCUAGGAGCUCCUGCUGCAUGGUGGGGGUUGGAAAGUUUCGGCGGUUGGGGAUGGACGCGCGGCUUAUCAGCUUGUUGGUGGGGUAGUGGCUUACCCGCGCUGUGACGGGUGGCCGGCCUGGGAGGGUGACCGGCCACCUGGGGACUGCGGGACGGCCCAGACUCCUACGUUAGGCAGCAGUCGGGAGUAUGGCACAAUGAGCGCAAGCCUGAUGCAGCAACGCCGCGUGCGGGAUGACGGCCUUCGUGUUGUAAACCGCUUUCGCCUGUGACGAAGCUUGAGUGACGGUAAUGAGUAAAGAAGCACCGGCUAACUACGUG